rnacentral:tRNA from 1 species
AGUGGAUAUAACUCAAUGGUAGAGUGAUUGUAUGUGGCACAAUUUGUUCCCUGUUCAAAUCAGGGUAUUCACC